AUGUCUUCUGGAGAUGGGAUUGAUGGAGAUGGAAAGUCUGAAGAGACGCAUAGCAAAGAUAUUAGACGCAUCAAGUGUGAAUUUUGCACUGUUGUUAGGUCCAAGAUGUAUCUCAUACGAGCUCACAUGGUUGCUCAGCACCAGGAUGAGUUGGACUCAUCAGAAAUCUACAACUCAAAUGGUGAAAAGGUUGUUCAUGGGGUUGGACACUCAUGUGAAGAGUGCGGAGCUUGUUUCCGGAAGCCAGCUCAUCUGAAGCAGCACAUGCAAAGUCAUUCCAAAGAGAGAUCCUUCGCCUGCCCACUUGAAGACUGCCCCUUCAGCUAUAUAAGAAGAGAUCACUUGAACCGGCAUAUGCUUACACAUGAGGGCAAGUUGUUUACAUGCCCUCUAGAAGGUUGUGGCAAGAGGUUCAGCAUCAAGGCAAAUAUUCAAAGACAUGUUAAGGAAAUGCAUGAGGAAGAACACGAAUGCAAAAUGGAUGACACUAAAAGCAACCAACAGGUUAUUUGCCAGGAGGAGGGCUGUAAAAAGGCUUUCAAGUAUCCUUCACAGCUGAAGAAACACGAGGAGUCACAUGCCAAAUUGGACUAUGUGGAAGUAGUCUGCUGUGAGCCUGGCUGCUUGAAGACAUUCACAAAUGCCAAGUGCCUGAGGGCUCAUAACCAGUCUUGCCAUCUAUAUACUCAGUGUGAUAUUUGUGGGGAGAAACACCUGAGGAAGAACAUUAAAAGGCAUCUACGAGCUCACCACAAAGUGCACUCUACUGAAAGGUUGAAAUGCAGUUUUGAUGGCUGUGAAUGCUCCUUUUCCAAUAAAUCCAAUCUAAACAUGCAUAUGAAGGCAUGCCACGACCAAGUCAGACCUUUCGAGUGUCGGGUCGCGGGGUGUGGCAAGACAUUCCCCUACAAGCAUGUCAGGGACAAUCACGAGAAGUCGAGUUGUCAUGUAUACGUAGAGGGCGACUAUGAGGAGAUGGACGAGCAGCUGCGCUCGCGCCCAAGAGGGGGCCGAAAGAGGGCGGCUGUGACGGUCGAGACGCUGACUCGCAAGAGGGUCACCAUCCCCAGCGAGGCCUCGUCGCUGGAAGAUGGGGCGGAGUACAUGCGCUGGAUGCUCUCGGACGGGGAUGGUUCGAACCACGCCGAGUAG
rnacentral:rRNA from 1 species